UACGGGGGGGGGCAAGCGUUGUUCGGAAUUACUGGGCGUAAAGGGUUCGUAGGUGGCCAACUAAGUCAGACGUGAAAUCCCUCAGCUUAACUGGGGAACUGCGUCUGAUACUGAUUGGCUUGAGUGCAGGAGAGGAACGCGGAAUUCCAGGUGUAGCGGUGAAAUGCGUAGAUAUCUGGAGGAACACCGGUGGCGAAGGCGGCGUUCUGGACUGCAACUGACACUGAGGAACGAAAGCCAGGGGAGCAAACGGG
rnacentral:rRNA from 1 species